UACGAAGGGGGCUAGCGUUGCUCGGAAUCACUGGGCGUAAGCGCACGUAGGCGGAUCUUUAAGUCAGGGGUGAAAUCCUGGAGCUCAACUCCAGAACUGCCUUUGAUACUGAGAAGCUUGAGUCCGGGAGAGGUGAGUGGAACUGCGAGUGAGAGGUGAAUUCGUAGAUAUUCGCAAGAACACCAGUGGCGAAGGCGGACUCACUGGCC
rnacentral:rRNA from 1 species